CGUGAAUAGUGAAUUCAUGUUUGAUUCUCUGUCAACAAAAUUGAUUUUGACUGAAUUGAUUCGUUAACUGACUUAUGUUUGAAUACAUUUAUGUAAAAGUCAACAACAAAUUUUAGUGUAAUAGAAUCAAAACCUUCAAUUAUUAGCUUUAAGUUUGAAUCAAUUCUGUAUGCAAAAUCAAUUGUAAUAGAGAGCAUAAAUCAAUUCCACAGGCUCUAGAAUCAAUUUUGACCCCUCCAAAAGUGCAACUGAACAUUUUGGUGAGUAUUAUACAAGGGUAAAGAGUCAUUUUGAUCCCUCAGUAUAAGGCACUGUCACUAUAGUCCCUAAAUGUAUAAAAAUCGGAAACACAUCCCUAUUGCUUCUUUUGUUUGUAAUUUUACAGUCUAAAUUUACCAAUGGAAAACACAUUUGAAGACUAAACUAAAUACCUUAAACCAGAUUCGAGGACCAAAAUAACUGAUAAAAGAGACAUUUGUGGAUGUAUUUGCAAUUUCGAUACAUUCUAGGACUAUAGUGACAACGCCUCACACAUUUAAGUACCAAAGUGCAUGUAUACCCUAUUAUAUUAUUCACUAAAUUUUUAAUUCUUCAUGAGUAGUUUACAUUACAUCAAUUUCCAAUAUUAAUCAAUACUAUUUAUAUGCAUGUUUCUCUCGGUCUCUUUGUGUACACCAAUUUAAAGAAGAAAGUUGUAAAACUGUCUUUGGGGGGCUCAUUUACAAUCAACCGGAUUGGUUCGCUACCGGUGUAAAGCUAAGAAUGUGGAAUUUGUUGAUAGUUAAUAUUUAGAGCGAUUCUUGGUUAUGCUCGGAGCCGCUUAUGCAGAUUUUUCUGCGCUUGUACGCAGUGGCAGGAGAUAAAGAUUGUACUGUGGCUGAAGCUAGUGCUGGUCUGGUGGUGUUUAGAGUUGGGAACUGUCAUGGCGCCGACCUGUGUUCAGUUGGGAAGAGCAGACUUAUGCAGAAUUGCUGGAACUGUUGACUGGUAUUUACCCAAACAGAGGGGCUAAGGAUUCGUUGAUCUGAAAGUGUGAUGCGGUUGGAUGACACACUGUCAGGAGUCAGGACGGGAUACUUUCUGCAGCAGCAGUCUUUCCAAAAUACAGCAAUUGACCAUGAUCUUAGCAAGGCUUUGAGGUAAAUCUGGAGUAGUGGUGUUCCAUCGAAGAUCGACCUUGUGCGAAGGCUGCUUAUUGACAGAUUACCUACAAGGAUCACUCUGGUGCGAAGAGGUUUGCUAGAUUAAACGAGGAAAAGCAGUUCUGUUUUUUGUUUUCGACAUGACAAAACCUCACAGCACCUAUUUUUUGAGUGUUCCUUAUCUUGUAGGGCGUGUUCAACAGUCACCUUAAUGCACUUUAUGUAUUCAGAGCGAUGAUAAGAAAAAGCUGAAGAAAAAACGUUUCUUAAUUUGGCACUACGAUUUGGUGCAUAUGGGUGAGGCGAAAUAAGAUUAUUUUCAAAAGAGGAGUGGCAGAUGUUCUAGAAUUAUUGAAUCAUAUUAUAAUGGUGUCUUUGAGUUGGGUGGUUGCUCACAGUGCAGGAAGGUUGGGUUUCAAUUUUGUAGACUGGUUUAAUAACCCUUUAGUUUGUCUUGGUUGCAUUGUCUAGCUUUAUAACCCUCUAGUUUGUAACGUGGAGUACCCCUUGUACACCUAUUAAUGGCACUUUGCUUCUAAAAAAAAAACAGAGAGAAGAAAAUUGUAAUAAUAUCCAUAAUUAAUAUUCUCUGUCUAUGAGGUGUAGCUUCGUGGAGGAGCUUGAUCUUAUAACCUCAAGGGAUAUAGUUGCCAUUUGUAUCACUUUAAUUAAUAAUAAAAAUAGCAUUUGCCUCCACCUUUCUCUUGCUUCUAAUUAUUUUAGCUUCUUUUUGUUUUUUGGUUGCAUUUUUGUAAGAUUUCUUGAACUCAAUAUCUCUGAAUUUGUUUGAUUAAGUGCUUAUUUUGCUAUUGAUAUUUCGGUUCUGAAUUAUGAUCCAAUACAAUAUUUGACAGAGCAUCAAGAAGCUGAUUUGAAAUUUAGAGAGAGAGAGAGAGAGAUAGAUUUGAAAGCUGAAAAUGACAAUCGGAGCUCUUGCACCUGAUGCUCUUGUAGCUAAUGCAAACCCAAGGAAGAAAAAGGAAGUUGUUGAUGAAAAUGCACCUUUGUUACCUAUGUGUCAAGAAACAGAUGCUGAGUUUCAUGAAUUCAAUGGAGCUUCAUUUCCUGGGGCUGUUUUCAAUUUGUCCACCACAGUUAUUGGUGCUGGGAUCAUGGGCUUGCCCGCUUGCGUCAAAAAGUUGGGAAUGGUACCUGGUCUUCUUGCCAUAAUCCUAACAGCAUUAUUGACAGAGAAGGCAAUUGAGUUCAUGAUCAGGUUUUCGAGAGCAGGGAAUCUUUCUUCCUAUGGAAGUCUUAUGGGAGAUACCUUUGGGAAAUACGGAAAAGCACUGGUAGAGAUAUGUGUUAUAAUCACUAACGUUGGUAUUCUGAUUGUUUACAUGAUCAUUAUUGGUGAGACCUUAUUCUUAAGUCUAGCACUGAAAAUUUGUAUGUCUGGACUUUUACUGUUAUGACCAGUUUCUGUUUUAGUUGAUUACUCACCCAUUUAUCUGUUUAGACGAGAACUUAAGGUUGCAUGAUUCAGUUUGGUUUUGUUUGUAUUGUAGGUGAUGUGAUUUCUGGAACGACUUCAGGUGGAAUUCACCAUCCUGGUAUCCUUGAAGGAUGGUUUGGUGUCCAUUGGUGGACUGGGCGCACAUUUGUUGUUGUUUUUACAACACUUGCUGUGUUUGGACCUUUGGUCAGCUUAAAGCGAAUUGGUGAGUGUGUAUACUUUUCUUGCAUUAUUUGAUGUGAAAAAUAGAAAUAUAUUGUUGUGUCACUUAGAUUAGAUGACAAUGUAAGGAAGAUGACUCAAACACUGGAUGGUAUGGAUGAAAGUUUCCAUUUCUUUUUAAUGGUCACAAGAUCAAUAAACAAUUUGUUGAUUCCAUCUGUCCCAAACUGUGUGAAGAAAACUAGAGAUGCAAUAUGGAAGAGAUUUCAUUCUGUUCCAUCCUAUUUUUUAUGACCAAACAAUUACAAGUUUGACAAUCUAUUACUUUUAAACUUCAAACAUGUUGCAAUUUGAUACCAACAAAUUAAAAAAAAAAAUGGAAAUUCAAAAUGCAUAUACUCGGUAUUCAACAUUCUAUUGCUUUGAUACAUGUUGCAUUUUCAUACCAACAAAUUGAAUCCUUUAUGCAAUGUUAUAUUCAGGUUAUGUGAUAGGAGGAUGGUAGUUGUCUAACCACUGAUAUAGUUAGGAUCAUCCUCUAAAACCUAUGUUGCAUGAGUACUCUAAACUCUCGAGUGCAAAUUGGUCUAGUAUAAAAUCAAGUUUUGUUGCUAAGUUGUUUGGUUUGUUACCAAAUGAAAUAAAUUGCUACUUCACCCCCUUUCAUAUUUUUGCCCAAGUGAAUUAGAACAUUAGAUUUAUAUUAUCAUUUUAAUACUUGCUUUUAUGUUUUUGUACCUUGGUUUUACGUGUUUUCUGGUACACCUGUACACUGCCGGUAUCAAUACCAUUGCUCAACUAUGUCCAUGCAACACUUCUUUAACAAAUUUAGCUGCAUUAUAUGUGGUUGUUGCAGAUUCAUUGAGAUUCACAUCUGCAUUAUCAAUUGGAUUAGCAGUUCUUUUUCUCGUCAUUGCUGGGGGGAUCUCAAUUAUCAAGAUUAUUAGUGGACGCAUUGGGAUGCCCAGACUCUUCCCUGUCAUUACUGAUGUAGAUUCUGUUUUUGAUCUAUUCACUGUAUUUCCUGUGCUGAUGACAGCUUAUAUCUGUCACUACAAUGGUAUGAAAUUGUUUGAAACCUUUGCUUAAUAAUCGAUUCCCUUGUUUUAAUGUUUUUACUCAGAAUUGACUUGUGAAUUUCUAAGUUUCUUAUGGAUUUGCAUGAAGAAGGUUGAGGUCUUCUGACUACUUAUUCCAAAACCAUCACUUCAUUCCAUUUCCAACUAAUUUGCAAAGAAACCAUGCAUGUCAACUUUUUAUAUGCUAUAAUGAUAUUGAUUCCUUUGCACUGCAUUAGUCUCUUUUAUGAAAAAAUAAUUAUUUUAUGAGCUAAAAAAAUUGAAAUUCAGCUUAUUUUAGUUAAUUUCUGGUUAUGCACCAUUAGUUGGAACUGGGAAGACUAAAAUUUGUUUACUUCAUGGAUGUAUUGUCUGAUUUUUGCAUUAAUUUUUGUGUGUUCUUUAUUUGCAGUUCAUAACAUUGAUAAUGAACUGGAGGAUUCCUCACGGAUGCGUGGGGUUGUGCGUACUUCCCUUACUCUAUGCUCUUCAGUAUAUGUACUGACAAGCUUCUUUGGGUUCCUUCUAUUUGGUGAAGGAACUCUUGAUGAUGUGCUUGCCAAUUUUGAUACUGAUUUUGGAAUUCCUUUUGGUUCUGCUCUUAAUGAUGCUGUUCGUUUUAGCUAUGUUGCGCAUCUUGUGCUUGUAUUUCCUGUAGUUUUCUAUGCAUUGAGGGUCAACAUAGAUGGUCUCAUAUUUUCCUCUUCGAGAAGGCCUUUGGUUGUUGAUAACUUCAGAUUUGCAUCAAUUACUAUUGCCCUUGUUGGCACUAUCUUCCUCGGGGCAAAUUUCAUACCUAGCAUUUGGGUUAUUUUCCAGUUCUCUGGAGCAACAGGUGCUGUUUGUAUAGCAUUCAUAUUUCCAGCUGCAAUCACUUUGAGGUGAGUCUGGUCACUGAACUCAUUUAGUUCUGUAAUGGAUUUUUUGGUGGUUUUACUGUUUGCUUUAGAUAUUUAGUGGAAGAGAAGUAAAAAAAAAUUGAAACAUGGUUAUAUAAUCGAGAUUCACAAGGACGACCGAUUUUCUGAAUCAUGUAUGGAAUCUUAUUAUUAAUUGUAAGAUACAUUAGCAAUAAAAAUAUGACAUUUUAAGUAAAUACAAGCAACAUAGCAAACUUAUAAACUAAUAUUUCAUCUACUAAUCUCAAAAUAAUGUAAGAUUCAACUCAUAAAUCAAAUGAUAAAAAAGUGGCUGUUUAUACAUAGUUGUCAGAAAAGAAGUGGCUGGCUAUUCUGAGUUUAGGUAGUGAUUCAUUCUAAUGAAUCAGGACUCAUCAUAAUGAAUCGGACUCAAGAUGAGAUUCAUUUCCAAUAUAGAUAUAGAUAUACAAUAAAGAUUCGUAUCAAAUGGAUUUAAUUUUGUAUCAAAUCAAAAUACGACUCUAUGGAUAGAAAUAAAAGUUUGAUUGAUUUACGUCAUUAUAGGAUUUUGUUCUUUAACUUGCAUCGAGACAAAAUACCUAAAUAAGCAUUCAUGAAGGACGGCAUUAACCUAGUUUAUUUGGUAAAUACUAACUGGAUUUCUAAUUAUCAGAAUCCAUUAUAUAGAAAAACUGCAGAAAAUGGUGAUAGUUGCCUUGUACCAUGUGACACAUCAGCCGCAACAUUGAUUAAAUACCUUUAACGCCCCUCAGACGAAGUUUUCUACGACAUUGAGAUGGCCAUUGACAUAUGGUAGCAGCAUAGAAGGCAGAGAGCAAACCCUAAGGCAAAACCCUAUCAGAGCCCUUUUUCUCUUCCAGGAGGAGGGCCCCCCCCCCACAAUAUUUUAUUUCAAGAAUUCUAAGAUACUUAUCAUUCUCUUAAGUAGUUUUAUAGACGGUUCUCUGUUCAUGCUUUUGCAUAUGAUUAUUCAACUCAACAAUUAUCAUUAAGCAUUUUCUUUUCCUACAGGGAUCGAUACAACAUAGCAACUAAAAAAGACAAGAUUAUGUCUGUCCUUAUGAUAGUGAUGGCGGUUUUUUCAAAUGCUGUGGCUAUAUACAGUGAUGUUUCUGCUUUGAUCAACAAGAAGGAAACUUAAUGUGAGCGAUUCCUUGAUUUGAUAGCUCACAGUACAAGUAUUUCCAUACUUUCAGAUGAAAGGAACAUAAUUUCUGAUGGUUGUAUAAAAUUAUUUUUUUGUGAGGGUCUGAUAGGUUGAUUAAUAUAAACAAAGCUACCAUAUGUGCAUAUAUUCUUCAAAACUGUGUGAUGGCCUGCAACAUGUUCAACGUUGGUUAUAACAGAGUAGAGUUAUAACAUCACAAAUCCGAAGCUGUAUACGGACAUGGUAUGAAAACAAACUCAACCCAACUGUCGACAUGAUUAAAAAAUAAAUGAAAAACACAAUGCUAUAUUUAUCCGACUCCGACUACAUAUUUGUUGCCAAAAUAUCAUAUUUCUUUUGUAACAUGCAAAAGCAUCCCAGAAUAUAGGAUGCAUGUUACUAAAGGGAUGUGCCGGUGGUUGUGAAAGAAUGGUCAAGUUCAAGCAGUUUUGGACAAGACAAAUAAAUUGAAUUAUGGAUUUGAACAUGUGUGGCUUGUUAAUAGAUUGUUUUCUAAAUUUUCCUUGUAAUUGAACUGUUGAUGCACUUCAUAGUAUGGCACAAUUAUAUAUGUUUUCGUUGAUUGGUUGUAAGAAGAGGUUGAAAAGAGAGAAAUAUGUGAAAAUGUAGUAGUUUUGACAUAAAGUGUGGUAUAAGAGAAAGAGGAGAGAAGAAAUAGAAGUGAAUCGAAAGUGAGAAGAGAGUUCACAAAAAUGCUGAAAUUGAUAGGUUGGACACCGUUGGUUUGAACUCUGACUUCUCCUAUUUGUGUGUGAGUUUUUAGUAGAUGUUGUCAUUUUGUCUAGUUAACAAAAGUGACUAGAAAAUUAUAAUUAUAGUUGAAAAGACUUAACUGUCCUUAAUAUUAAACAAUCAACAUACAAUUAUUUUAUAUUUCUUAAUUGAUUCGCUUUGAAUAGUUUGGUAUGUUAAAUUAAUUUUAAAAAAGAACAGCUUUAUCGUAUAAUUAACUUUUAUAUAAAAUAUGUAUUUUUCUUAAUAAAAUAUAAUAUAUUUAAUUUUCUAGUUUUUCGUUUUAAAUAAAUACAACAAUCUUUUCAACAUAAAAUAUAAACAUAAAAUAAUUAAAAAGUCAAAUAUAUUUCUCUACUUCUAUCUUUUCAACCCUUUACUUUCAAUGCCUCUCUUAUGUUUUUUAUGGGACAUAUAUAUAACCAUAACUACAUCCUUCUAUAAAAAAUCCUAUUUUUUAGUACAAAAAUUAUUAUCUACUUUCUAAUUCAAAAUUCAAUGAAAAUAAAAAAUGCAACUGUCCAAACCGCUAUCCUUUAACUUUAAAGAGUUUUGUCAUUUAUUACUAUUCUAUUAGGUUCAAGCGACUAGUUUCGACAGUUGUAUGUAGAAGGUAUUGAUUCACGCAAUAAAAUAAGUUAUCCUUUGACAAAGUUAUCUAUAAAAAAACAUUCCAUUGCAUAAUUGAGAAGGUAUUAUAUUAAUGCGUAUUUCUUUUUUAUUAUAUUUAAUUGACUCACACCAACCAAUGAUAACAACAAAUUAUUGUCUUUUGUCUUCUUUCAUCACUACCACUCAUUUUCUCUUGCUUCUAAUAUAAUAUCUUGGUUUCAUUGGCUUCUAAAUCUAAUACAGUAUUUGGUUUUAUUGACCUUUAAUGUGUAUCAAAGGUUGCUAUAAAGUUUUGAAUAUAUUUUUCAAGCUGAAAAACGGGUUUAUUCAAAAAAUAAAAAAGGAUACUGCAUGAAAAGUGAAAAUGACUAUUGGAAUUCAUGCACCUAACUUAGAGAAGAAAAAAUCAAGGAAGAACAAGACAACUAUUGAUGUAAAUGCACCUUUGUUACCUAAGACACAGGAAAGUGAUGUUAAGUUUGAUGAAUUUAAUGGAGCUUCAUUUUCUGGUGCUGUUUUCAAUUUAUCAACCACAAUUAUUGGUGCUGGAAUUAUGGGAUUGCCUGCAUGUGUGAAAAAGUUAGGGAUGGUGCCUGGUCUUAUUGUCAUAGUCCUAACAGCUUUAUUGACAGAGAAGUCAAUUGAUUUCAUAAUCAGGUUUUCUAGGGCAGGGAAACUUUCUUCCUAUGGAAAUCUUAUGGGAGAUGCCUAUGGGAAAUACGGAAAAGCGUCGUUGGAGAUAUGUGUUUUAACUACCAUCGGUAGUCUGAUCAUGUACAUGAUCAUUAUUGGUGAGACCAUAUUCUUAAGUCUAGACUUUUACUGUUAUCAUUAGAGAAGAAUUUAAGGUUGUAUAAUUCAAUUUUGUUUUUGUUCAUAUUGUAGGUGAUGUGAUUUCUGGAACAACUUCAAGUGGAAUUCACCAUGCUGGUGUCCUUGAAGGAUGGUUUGGUGUCCAUUGGUGGACCGGGCGUACAUUUGUUAUUACCUUCGCAACAUUUGUUGUGGUUGCACCUUUGGUCAGCUUUAAGCGGAUUGGUGAGUGAUAUUUCUUUUCUUGUAUUAAUUGGUUUGCAUAUAGAAACAUAUAGUUGUGUCAUUUACCGAAAUGGCUAUAGAUUAGAUGACCAUGUUAGGAAGAUGACUCAAAUGCGGGACGGUAAUUGUAUGGAUGAAAGUUUCCAUUUCAUCGUUUGUAAACUAAAAAAAAUGGUAAACAAGAUCAAUAAACAACUAGGUGGUACACAUGGUUAUUUGGAAUUGAUGCUUAUUUGAUACACAUGAUUAUUUGCCAAUACUCACUUUUUUCACUCAAGUACAAAUUGGUCUAUCUAUGAAAUCAAGUUUUGUUGCGAUGUUAUUUGGUUUGUGUCCAUGUAACACUUCUAUGACAAAUUUAGCUGUAUUCUCUGUGAUUAUUGCAGAUUCAUUGAGAUUCACGUCUGCAUUGUCAAUUGGAUUAGCAGUUCUUUUCCUUAUCAUUGCCGUAGGGAUCUCAAUUAUCAAGAUUAUUAGCGGCGGCAUUGGGAUGCCAAGACUCUUCCCGGUCAUUACUGAUGCAGCUUCAGUUUUCGAUCUAUUCACUGUAGUUCCUGUGCUGAUGACAGCAUAUGUAUGUCACUACAAUGGUAUCGAAUAGUUUGAAACCUUUCUCUUAAUGUUUUUAUUUCUCUCAGUAGACUUGUAUAAUUAUAAGUUGGUUAUGGAUUUGCAUGAAGAAGAUUAAGGUCUUCUGACUACUUAUUCCAUAAGCAUCACCUCAUUCUAUGUCCAACUAAUCUGAAAAGUAAGCAUACGUGUCAAUUUUUUAUGAGCUACAAAAUUGAUUUUCAGAUUAUUUUGGUUAAUUUCUGGUUGUGCAUCAUUAAUGAGUCAAAACACGGAACACUAAGGAAGUGUUUUUAUAUACUUGGUUGUUCAUUCUAUGUUACCAACACGACGAUUGAUAGUAUAAAUUUUUGGUUUAGGCUUGGUUUCUUAAUGUGGUUGUAUAAUCCACAAGCUGAUUCCACGUACUAAUAAACAUCGGCAACUAUUGCAAAAGUUUCGGUUAUGUGGGAGGAUGACAUCAAUGCAGUUAGCUAUAUAGAUCCACUUGUUUGCUUCAUAGAUUUAUUAUAUGGUGAUUACAGUGUGUGCUCUUUGUUUUCAGUUCAAAGCAUAGAGAAUGAACUGGAGGAUUCCUCACGGAUACGUGGGGUUGUGCGUACUUCCCUUACUCUAUGCUCUUCGGUGUACUUACUGACAAGCUUCUUUGGGUUCCUUCUAUUUGGUGAAGGAGUUCUUGAUGAUGUUCUUGCCAAUUUUGAUACUGAUCUUGGAAUUCCCUUCGGUUUUGCGCUCAAUGAUGCUGUUCGUUUGAGCUAUGCUGCGCAUCUUGUGCUUGUAUUUCCUGUAAUUUUCUAUGCGUUGAGGCUCAACGUAGAUGGUCUGAUAUUUUCCUCAUCAAGAAGGCCUUUGGUUGUUGAUAACUUAAGAUUUUCAUCAGUUACUAUUGCCUUUGUUCUUAUUAUCUUCCUCGGAGCAAAUUUCAUACCGAACAUUUGGGUUAUUUUCCAGUUCACUGGAGCAACAGGUGCUGUCUGUAUAGCAUUCAUAUUUCCAGCUGCAAUCGCUCUGAGGUGAGUUUGGUCACUGAAUUCAUUUAGUUCUGUAAAUAUGAUUAAUCAACUCAAAAGUUAUCAUUAAGCAUUUUCUUUUCCUGUAGGGAUCGAUACAACAUAGCAACUAAAACAGAUACGAUUCUGGCUAUCCUUAUGAUAGUGCUAGCGGUUUUGUCAAAUGCUGUGGCGAUAUACAGUGAUGCUUAUGCUUUGAUCAACGAGAAGAAAGCAUAAUGUGAGUGAUUUCUUGAUUUGAUAGCUUACAAUACAUAUAUUUCCAAACUUUCAGAUUAAAGGAACAUAGCUACCAUGUGUACAAAUAUUCUUCAAAAGUGUGUGAAGGCCUGCAACAUGUUCAACCUUGUUUAUAAUAGAGUAGGGAUAUUUGAACAUCGCAAGUCUGAUGCCGUAUAUGGAUGUGGUAUGUAAACACGCUCAACUCAACUGCCGACAUGACUGAGCGAAAGAAAAUAAAUAAAAAUACCAAAUUGUAUAUUUAUAAUAUACGGUGUCCGACACCAUAUUUGUUGUCAAUAUUUAAUUCUCUUGUAAUAUGAUCUUUAUUGUUGUAAAUGUAGAGGUUCUUAUUGAAUGUGCCUCCAUUUCCCAGACUUCAUAUCCUUUAUAACUGCAAGUGAGGUAUUUGCUGGCACUUGUAUACAUUAUUAUUUGUUGGGUUUCAUCACAAAAAGAAAUUGAAUAAUGGAUAUGAAAAUGAAUGACUUGUUAAUGGUUUGCUUUCUAAAUUUUCCUUGAAAUUGAACUUUUGGUGCACUUUUCUAAAUUAUACUUAUGUAAUCAAAAUCAAGUGUUUAGUUGAAUAUAUAGUACCUUAUAGUGCCUGAUGGUGUUGCAGAGGGGACAAAAAAGAGAAAACUUUUCAUAUUCAUUGUGCCCAUCUAUGAAGCAUAGUCACUCCUCGGAUUGGGCGUGUCCCGAUGUCGGAAAUGUGUCGUGUCCGACACCGACACGACACCCACAUUUGUAAUUACACUGAAUUAUGUGAUUUUUUCAAAUUAUUAACUGUGUCGACGUGUCCGUGUCAUGUCCGGUGUCCGUGUCCGUAUCUGUGCUUCAUAGGUGCCCAUUUUCUUACGGUAAACCACGUACAUAGGUUCAGCAUUGAGCAUGAGAUUGCAUUUGAUUAUUAGGACUAAAAAAAAUCUGGCGACCAAAACCAAAGUAUGCACAAAUUUACUUUUAACACAUCAACAACCCAUACACUCCUCAAAUCCUCUAGAACUACAAAGCUAAAUGCAUAAUAGCCAUUUCCUAUAGUGAUCAUCUUCGAUUGUGACAAAGGAUUUAAUAGCAUAGCCUGUAUAACUUAGCUCGCAGGUCACUAGUUUUUGAUAGGUAAAUCUACUUUGGGGAGCAAUAUGCAAUGAAUUUCUUUUGAAACCUUCAAUAACUCUUUCCUACUCUUCUUCAAAAAACUUGAUUGCAAUUGUUGACAUGAUAAGUGAGAUUUAGAAGUCUUACUUUGGAUGAGAAAGUAGAUAUUGAGCAACAUAUAAGUUAAGGAACCGAUAUACCUAAUUUCUUGAGGUUUUUGGUGAAGAUAUGAUGUCAAAACUUACUUGUGUGGUUAUUCUUACUUCAACGUAAUGACUCACUCCAAUGUUUUAAGGCUCUCUUGGAACUCCCAAGAGUGGUAUCAAAGUCUGGUUCACCUUAAUGAAGGAGUAGGAGUUGUUCUUGGUCUUGAAUAAAGGAUGCGGAGAAUCUCACACUUGAAGGAGAUAACUGUCGAUGGUACAUAAUAAAUAUAAAUUUUGAACUCAACCUAUCCUGAUGAAAUUUGAUUGGAUUGACUAACAUGUUUGAUCAAAACUGAUCCAAACCACCCAUAAAACACCACUUACAUGAGAUGGUAGUUCACAAGACCUGGGCAGCCAUAUGCUUUUAAUGACAUAAAAUGAACAAAAUAAUUAGUAUAAGAUUUGUUUGGUGAUGACACAUUCAGCACGUGACUGGAAUUAGAAUUUUUUAUGAACUUCAAAGCACACAAUUGCAUUAGGAACCAUAACUUCCUAGUAUAGGACAUGGUGUAAAAGGUUAGGUGAAGAAUCGGGGAGAGUAAAUCAACUCCCUUAUACAUGAAAUAUUGUCACAUCUAGUUGUAGUAAAUGAACUUCCCAUAUGGUUAAUGAUUAAGAAUAGUAAAAGAAUCACAGAUUCACUAUCUUUAAUUGCAUCAAUCCUCUAGAAAAAAAUAUAUUGUGUUUGCAUAUUUUGAUUAUAGGUGGUCUUGAAAAUAUCGCUCUUAACAUGUUGACAAAUCAUUUGAAAUUUUGAUAGAAUGUCGAAUUUGACAUUUUUUUUGGAGAAUGUUGAAUUCGCUGAUAACCAUAAUAAGCAUCUUGCUCCAAAGAUAAUUGAAGGACAUUUCAUCAAACACAUAUCACAAAUUUAUAAGAGUGCACAGUCAGGAACUAAUUUGGAAUUUUGAUAAUCACAAUAAGUAUUAAGGGAAUAUUGAAGGACUUAUUAACGAAAUAUUUUAAUGAGAUAAACUAUUUUGAUUAAAAGAGAGCACAAUCACAAACUAAUUUAAAAUUUUGAUACAUUCAAAUAUUAUUAUGACCGCCCGUUACACAUAUCGAGAUCAAAAUGACUAUUAUCUUCGUAAAAAAAACAAAAGGUUGUGGCAUAAUAUAUAUACCCCUUUUUAGGAACCUAUCUAUACAUAUAUUCUAUUAUCUUAUAUACUUAUCUAUACAUAUAUAUCUAUAAUAUUAUUAUAUAUAUAAACUAGAUGGAGGAUUUUGGGUUGUAUUUUGAAAAUUGUUGUUGACGCUGUAACACACCUGUAAAUGACUAAAAUGACCAUUCGGUAGUUAACUAUCGAUGCAACGAACUGGUGGUAAUUAACUGUUGAUGUAAUGAACCGGCGGUAGUUAACUACCGAGGUUCCAUCGGCAAUUAACUGCCGAUGCUCUGUUAUAAGAACAGAACGGCACAUAGGAAUUUCCAAAACUCCAUUGUUGCAGUAUUGAGCUUCAAUGUUGCGAUUUUCUCCAACUUUAAGCCAUUCAACGCCAAUUACAAUCACAAAAUCAAAUAAGUGCUUAUUAUCCUAUUGCAUUGACUUUUUUUUUAUUGAAUUGUUACAUUUUUUUGGAUAAAUUGUCACAUAAUUAGGUUUUGUUGAUUUUUUAUUUUAUGAUGUUAGAUGUUUAUGAUUUGAUUGAAUUGUGUGAUGUUGAUUCGAGUAGAAAUUGUUGAUUAGAGUUGAAUUUAAUGAAUUGUUGUAGAAUUGCUAGGAAUUAUUUGAAAUUCUUAGGAAUUUUGUGGUAGAAUUUUUAGGAUUAGUGUAGGUUUUGAUCUCCGAUACGUUACAUUACAUUAUAUUCUUCCUAAAUAUGUGGUAUCAUCCGAUGUUGGGUUUAAAUUAAAUUGUUGAAAGUUUGCGAAAAAUAUCGGCAUUAAAGUGUCUUAUACUAAGUGUAAAGAUUUACAGCACCAUUUGAAAACUCAAAAGAAUGGAUAUAACACAUGUUGCAUUCUACAAAAUGAGUUGUACAAAUUUUCCCAUCAAAUUCCCUCAUAUGAGUAGUGACAAACAAGAAUGCAUUCCAAGAGGUUGUUUUGAACUUAAUCUUACUGACAAAUUUCAAUUGACAGAAGAGCAUGAUCAAGUACAAAACAAUAUCUUAGAGGUGCAUUCCCUUAUGUCACACUCAUCUUAUAUAAAGGAAUCUGGUGAAAAAAUUUGUACAACCAUUAGGUAGAAUACAACAUAUGUUUUAUCUAUUCUUUUGACUUUUCAACUAGGCUUGCGAAUCCUUACAUUCAGUAUAAGACACUUCAAUACCAACAUCUUCCGCAAAUUAACAAGAAUUAAACUUAAAUUCCAACAAAAUAAGACACUACAUAAUAAUGAUGCUACCUAAACAUAAUCUUAUGGUAGAAUCAAACUCUUGAGAAUAUCUUCAGGCGAUCUCAGCAAUGUAGCUUCCAUCUCAAUCCUCGGGAACAUGCGUUCCUGAUAAUAUUUGGAGAACAUGCUCCUCGCGUAAUCAUGAUCUGUCAGCAUUAUCUUUUCGGUCUGCAAACAACCGGGACGUGUAUACUGAAGGUUCUCCACCAUCAUUCUGUCUUCGGGGUUGUGUCCUUUAUUGAUUUCGUUCAGUUGAUCCUUCAGAUCCUUUAGCGUGACAUCGACUCGAACCUUGAACAAAUGAGGGUUUCUACCGUUGAAACGUACUUGAGCUUUGAACAAAUUGUCCGUUGUUUCAGAUCUACACCAUAAGAAAUUAAAUAAUCUAUGAAAAACUCAUUCAAACAUUUCAUCAAACACUUGAAGUACAAAUUAUACACAAACCCUAAAACUUAAAACUACAACAUAAACAUGCAAACAUACUUAAUCAACUUAAAUCUACUCUAAAAAUGAUUCAUAAUAUCUUACUUGCAAACAUUUAAUUCAUUUUUUUUUUUUACAAAAAACAACAAAAAUUAAAUCAACCUAAAACUAAAAUUAUAUAUAAAAAAACAAUUAUAACAACUAAAAUGUAUAAUAGCACUAAGAUUUUGUCGAAUAAAUUUGGAUGAGAUUUUAGAGAGCUGUUGAGAGAUUGAGUCGAGAGUGAUAAUAGAUGCGAGAGUAAUGGUUCCUCCUGAAAUUUGUAGCAGAAAUCGCAUCGAUAGUUAACUACCGAUGGACUCCGCGAUAGUUAACAAGAAUGAGGGGCAAUAAUUGUUCAACCGCGGUAGUUAACCGCUGGUUAGUUCCUUCGACAUUGUUUUAAGUGUGGACAACAAUUUUCUUGUAUUUUUCAUUAUUUCAAUUACUCUCCUAAACAAAGUUUCCUAUAAAAAUAUAGAAACAUUAUAAUGUAAAUCUUUAUUAUUGUGAUAUUAAAAAAUAUAGGGUUAAAUAUGUUUUUAGUCCUUAUAUUUUGCACCCCUUUGAAGAAUAGUCCCUACAUUUCAUUAAAUGUUUUUAAAAUCCCCACAUUUUAUUUCCGUUAUUAAAAUUAGUCCAUGUUGUUAAUUCUCUAACGGAAUGCUGAUGUGACAAUUAGCGUGUCUCAAUUAUUUUAGGGUUAAAUAUGUUUUUGGUCCCUAUAAAAUUGAGAACUUCUAAGUUUAGUUCUUACUUAAUUUUAAUAGGUUUUUUAGUCCGUACAAAAAAAAAAUUACUUCUAAUUUUAGUCCCUGUUACAACAAAGUUUGUUUAAUUAUCCUUAAACUCUUAAAUUUUUGUACGAUUUUUUUCAGACAAGUUUAGAAUACUAUGAAAGGUUCAUUAACUAAAAUUUAAAAUUUUUUAACAUGAAACGAAUUAAAUAUGAAUUUUUUAAAACGGAAAAAGUUAAAGAUAAAAUUAACAAAAUUUGGAUGUAGAAAUCAAAUUUUGCGACAAUUUUUUGUAGAGGAACUUUUAGUAAUGUUUUUAACACGUCUGCAAAAAAUUGUUCAAAAACUCAAGAGUUUAAGCAUAAAUUAAACAAAUUUAAAUUGAGGAAGGACUAAUACUGAGUGCAGAAAAAAAAAUUAGGGACUAAAAGAAUUAUUAAAAUUAAGUAAGGACUAAACUUUUUUUUUUAGAGAAAGUAAGGACUAAACUUAAAAGGUCCCAAUUUUACAGGGACCAAAAACAUAUUUAACCCAUUAUUUUAAGGUUAAAUAUGUUUUUGGUCCUUACAUUUUACGUGAGAAAUAGUCACUACAUUUUAAUAACUGUUUUUAAAAUCCUAAAAUAAUAAGCCCAAAGAAAAACUUAGAAAAUCAAUUUAGUGUAGUCUAUAGAAAAUAAAUUAAAACAACUUUUAAGCCCAGAGAAAGAAAAAAAGAAAACUCAAAACAACUGGGUCCUUGGGAUAGGGGGAGACAUAAGUUCCUAUAAACUUUGAUAAGGAAAAUUAUAAUAUAUGUGAGAUCGAGGAUCACCAUAUAAAAAAGAUGAGACAUCAAAAUAUAUUGAGUCUCAAAAAUUAAGUUGUCCCAAUAAAAAAUUCUCAUGACUAAAUGUUUGGUUUUAGUUUUCUCAUAGACUAAAUUGAAUCUCACAUUUUUAUCAUGAACUUAAAUGAGUUUCACUUGUGUGUAUGGGAAUAGAACAGUGAACAGAUUAUUUUGAGUUUGAUUUGUAGUGGAAUAUGAGUCCCCAUUUAGAUUCAGUUUUUCAAUCUCCUUCAAGCAGUAGAUUAACUUAUUUUCCUCUAUCUUUUCCCUCGAUCAUUAUUAGUGUUUUGUUUUUUGUUACUUUGUUUAAGCUUUUUAAUAUUCUGACUGCUCCGUUUGUUCUUACAUUGUUUAGCUUGGGUUGGAUAUUAAACAAGUCCCACGUAGGAGGGAACAAAGAAAACUAAUGUGUUUAUAAAUAAUAAAGAGUUUGAUGAGUUUAUGAGUAUUCAUCAUAGACAAUUGUAAAUGUAAAAUGAUGAAUUCCUUUUAUCUUAAUCAUGUUUUGAUAUGUUUUGAUCUUACUAAAAAAAUAACAUUAUUUUUUCGAAUUCCUAUUAACCUAAUCAUUUUUUGAUCUUGCUCCAAAAAUAACAUUAUUUUUUCCACACACAUGUUACACCACAUGUUUUCAUCUUAAUCCAAAAAUAGCAUUAUUUUUUUUACACAUGUAUUACAAAAUGCAUUAAUUAAAAGAAAGGGAGGUGUUAAAAAAAUAAUACUUUAGAAUAGUGUAUAUAGUAUUAAUUGUAAAUGUAAAAUGAUGAAUAAUAAUUAAAAGAAUAGUUAAAUAUGUUUUUAGUCCUCACAUUUUCCACCUCUUUGAAGAAUAGUCCUACAUUUUAAUAAAUGUUUUUAAAAUCUCUAAAAUAAUAAAAAUUAUUAUUCAAAAUCGCGCAAAAUGUUGGGAUCAAAAACAUAUUUAAUCCUAAAAUAAUUGGGAUUCACUAACUGCCACACAUUCCGUUUAAAAAUUAACAACAUGGAACUAAUUUUGAAAACGGAGAUAAAACGUGAGAAUUUUAAAAAUAAAAACAUUUAAUGAAAUGUAGGGUCUAUUUUGUGUAAAAUAUAAAUAAUUAAAAACAUAUUUAAUAAAAAAAUAUAAAUCAAUCAAAUAAGAUAGUAAUAAAAGCUUAAUUUCAUUUUUGUCUGAUUUUCUCCUGUUGGUUCAAUUUCAACCCUAGCCUUACUGUUAUACUUUCUCAUUCUUGUGAAGAGGAAUCGAUUAUAAAGAGAAGCGAUUUUGGUGUAUUCACGAAAUGGGUUUUGAACUUAAAGUGACGAUACAUUGAAAAAGCGAAGAGAUUUCACACUUUCAUAUUCAGAUUCGCUUCAUUCUCCUUGCAGGUUUCGUGGAUUCAAUCAUUGUGAGUUUUGUUUUUGUUAUUUAUUUGUUCCAUUAGUGCUUAUGAAUUCUACUUUGAAAUUUCGCAAAUAGUUUUAAGGCCUUGUUUGGAUGAUCACCUUUAUUUGCAGCUUAUGAAGAAUCUGUUUGGUAAGAUAUACAUUUGAGUCAAUGACUUAUAGCUUAUAAGUUUGUAUGAUUAAAAAAGACACAUUUGGUAACUGUCAUUUGUACACGAACUUCUAACUUAUUUUCAGGAGUUUAUAGCGAUCUUUGAUAAGCUAUUCGAGUAGUUUAUAAAUGAUCACUUGUUAUCUCAAUUUUACCCUUGCAAUCUAAAUUGAAAAAACUAAAUAUUAAUUAAAUGUACAUUUUUUUUAUGUCAUUUUAUAUUUAUAAGUUACUUCAACUGCAAAUUUUACCAAACAUUGCAGAUUCAAUGAGCUAACUUUUCUGUUAUUAGCUAUAAACUAGCUUGUAAAUCAUCUGCUAUAAGUUCAUCUGCCAUAAGUUAACUUAUCAGGUAUCCACCAAUUUUACCAAACAGAGCCAAAGUCAAAUUGUUCAUUUAAUAAAGCUUAACUUGAAAAUUGUGGAACUGAGAGGCCUUGUUUUCAUAAGUGCUCUCAGACAAAAUCACAAAUGCUUAUGCUAGUAGAUAAGCUCGAAUAAGUCAAUCUAAAUAGACCUUAAAUCGUGUUGUCUUCACAGUUUUUGAUGUUGUGGAGAAUGAUGCUUAAGUGUGACUCAUUUAUUAUUGUGGUAGUCUAAGAGGGCUUCUCUAGUACAUAGUGACUAACUUAGGGUCCGUUUGUUAUAGAUUAAAAAAAAGACUUUUUCUUUGUAUUUUUCAAAAAUAUUUUUUUUGGAAAACUUACUUAAAAAUAGUAUAAGUUAUUUCAAACUUACUAACUUAGAUAUUCAUUGUUUGAGAUUUUAAAAGAUAAAAAUCCCAUAUCUUUUCAAAAAGUUAUCUUUCAAAAAACAAAUUAUGAAAAACUAUUUGAAAUAGCUUCUUAUUAAGAGUUUUUUUUUUUAAAUUUAUUAUCCACAAAAAGUCGUAGCAAAAGGAUGAAAUGCUUAAAAUGACUUUUUAAGAGAAGAUGUUUAAACCAAUUUCUCAUUAGAAGCUUAAACACUAUAAAAAUCUAUUUAAAAAAAAAAAAAAAAAAAAGACAAAUCUUAUUUUCUGUUAUGAAAUUGUUCUUUUCCUUUGCCCCAAAUUGUGGUAACUGGUAAUGGACAUCAUUAACCAGCGGUUUGCUUAUGUCAUGUUAACAAAAUUUUGUUUUCAGUUACAAUUUUAUUUUGCAUCUUUGAUGCCAAGAUUCAUGCUUUCUACUAUUGAACUGUUUGUAUUUGUUUAGAGUCUUCACAAUCACUAUUGAUCAUGAUACUGUUUUGUUUGAGCAUAAAUUUUAAUUUUGAUGGUUUUUCACUCCCCCAUACUUGAUUGAUAUGUAUAUCAAAAUCAAUGUCUUAACAAGUAUCAACCAUUUUGCUACCAACUGUUUUGUUUCUAUUACUUUUUUUUUUUCUUCAAUUUUGAUGCCCUGAUUCAUGCUAAUGGUUUAAUACCACAAUUCUUUGCUAUCAUUAUUAACCACAAAAUUUAUUUGCAUAUCUUCAACUUUACAUUCAUUUUAGAUUCUCUCUUGGUGUUAGGGUUUCAGGUUUUCAACAUCAUUUGUCCGAUGGAUAUCUGUCCGAUUAAGAAUCAAUGUCAGUCCAACCCGCCAUUCACGCCGGUGUUGAUUCCUGACGAACUCAUCGUCGAAAUCCUAUCGUUCCUUAGCGUGAAAACCAUCGCACGAUUCAAGUGCGUGAACAAGUCAUGGAACACUCUCAUCUCCAAUCCAACUUUCACCGAAAUGCACCUUAAGAAGUCAUCACAAAACCCUCACUUCAUACUCACAUCAACUCGGAAUCACCCUGUAAAGCAUGUCGUAUCCUUACCUGUGCAUUGUUUACUCGAGAAUGUGUCAGUCACUAUUGCCGGUGACACUUGCCACAAUUCGAAAGAAGAAAGUUGGCAGGUCGUUGGCUCCUGCAACGGAUUGCUCUGUUUGCUUUUCGAUUCUAUCUUUGGCAUACACACAAAGUACUUCUUCUGUUUAUGGAAUCCUGCAACGAGGACAAUGUCUGACGAAUUAGGUUUGUUUUUGGACUAUGAGUCUUUAUUGGGCCCUUUCAAGUUCAGUUUCGGUUGUGAUUAUUUAACUGGAACAUACAAGGUAGUGGCACUUAAUACAGAAAGUAAUGAAGAGAAAGAGACCGAGACCGAAGGUUUAUGGAGAAGCAAGGUGAGGGUUUUCAGUUUGGGUGAUUUUUGUUGGAGAGAGAUUCAAAGUUUUCCUUUGGUUCCUCUUAUCGGGAAUGAUGGUGUGCAUUUGAGUGGAACGGUUAAUUGGCUAGCUAUUCACGGUGACUAUGUUGGACUUUCUGAUGGAGAAACAGUUCAAGCUUCAAUUCCUCACGUUCAGCAAUUUGUGAUUGCUUCUCUUGAUCUUUCAACAGAGACGUACAACCGGCUUUUGCUUCCAAAGGAUUUUAAUGAGGUGCCAUGCGUUGAGCCAUCUCUUCGGGUUCUGAUGGAUUGUCUUUGCUUUUCGCAUGAUUUCAAGAGAACCGAAUUUGUUAUAUGGCUGAUGAAGGAGUUUGGAGUCCAAGAGUCUUGGACUCAGUUAUUUAGAUUUGAAUAUGUUAAUCUUCAAAUGCAGAACAUUCCGAUCAAAGACGACUGGGAUUUACUUGGAUACAUGACAUGUGAUACUCCAUUGUUACCUUUGUACCUUUCGAAGAAUGGAGAUACAUUGAUCUUGACAAAUGAUAAAGACAAAAGAGUAAUUAUCUAUAAUCGGAGAGAUAAGAGAGUAGAGAGAAUUGGAAUUUCCAACAAAAUAAGUUGGUUCUCCGCCAUUGAUUACAUUGAAAGCUUGGUUUCGACUCAUUGGAAGUAAGUUCUCUUCUAUCAUUUUCAAUUGUUUGAAUCUAUGUGUAAAUAUUUCAUAUGAUAGCUUGGGUUGAUUAUACUGGAGAAUGAUUAUUUAUUGAUCAUUGUUAUCGGUUUGGAAAUCUACUGGAUUAAAUGAAUUUGUUUUGGUUUAUAUUAAAUAUAGGCUAGAAGUUGAUUCUCACAAAAGAAUUUGUUCAAAACUCUUGUCUGCAUUUUCCAGAAAAAAGUUAAACACAGGUGAAACUCACAUUGAUCUGGACUUAAAAAACCCUUUAUAACACAAAGUUGAAGGUGGGAUCCUAGAAAGAGGUUGUUGAUGAGCAAAUGGGAGACUUAUACAGGUUCAUUGGACCUGUUGUUCAGUAGAUAGAUCAGAACAAGAAAAACCAUUUAAGUUGAAUAGACAAAGUAAUCCUAAAACGAUGUUUAGGGCUCUACUAUCUAAGUCUUUUAAGCUAUAUACUUGUGGCCAUUUGAUAUUUUUCUUGGUCUAAUUUUACCCCCCUGCAGUGCACACCCAUGCUAAUUUCUAAAGUGAGAAUUAUUUUAUCUCUAUACCUAGUUAUAGUGAUAUUGUAAUAAUUACGCAACCCCGGUAAAGCCUAUGGUACGGGCAUUGAUUCGUGGCCUCAUGGUUGAAGCUAAUUUCUUUCUUUGUUUACUUACGAAUAUAGAUGGACUUUAUCAUUAUGCAUUCAUUUUUUCCGUUUCUGUUUUUAUUUUAUGUUGUGUAUUGUUGGUUCACUUCUAGUCUAAUGGUUUUUAAAUUAUAGGUCAGGAGAUAUAGAGGAAGAGGGAGAUGAAGAGGGGGAUGAGGAGGAGGAGGAGGAAGCGCAUUCAUUAUGAAAGGACGAGGAUCAACCAAGAGACAUUACUCUUGGAGUUUUUGGAGUGGAUGAUUUGUGCUAGAUUAUGAUUAUGUAUUAUGAUAAAAAAAUAAAUAAUAAAAAAAGGAACAAAGUAUGAAAAUAGUAAUCUUCAUUGUCAUCUGGGUUUUUUUUAGGGUUUGAAAACAUGAACUUUGUAAAGCCAGCGCACUUGUGUUUUCAUUUUGACUCAAAAAUGCUAAUAUAUUUUUUGUUUCGAAGAUGUAUGAAGUGAAUCCAUUGAAUUGUUUCAGUAAGCUGAACUCUCAGUUGCUUCGCAGUUUUAAUAAUUUUCCUGUGGUAUGCAACUCAGCUUUUGUUCUUCCAGUUGAACCAUUCUUGAAUCUUGAAUAUGUAUGGACUUUUAAUUUUCACACAUUAUUUAUACAUAUACAUUAAUUUUAAAUCCAAAUAAUAGAAUGAACUGAUCUAAAUCCAAAUUACAAAUCAAAUCAUAUAACUACAACAAGAAAUGCAAAGUUUACCAAUACUUUCCUCCUAUGUUGGAACAAGAAAACUUGUUUGUUCCCCAUAUUCAAAACAACCAGAAAGAUUUACCAUAAUAAACCCCAUCAAAAUCAUGCCAAUGCAAACUCCACUAACCAAUGCACAACAAUUCUUCCCAAAUCCACUUUUUCCUCUUCCUUCUCUUUUCAAUUUCCUACACUUGUUUUCCUUUUCUUUUAAACAAGAUUCAAUUUUCAUACCAAAAUCUUCAAAAGAAUCCUCAGCAUCUUGAAAAUAAAAUGUUCCAAUUUUCCCACCACCAACAUUGCUCUUUUCACCAAUUUUCCCCACCCCAUUUCUUCUAAAUUUCUCAAUAGCCUUCUCACCAACAAUCAUACCAUUCUCAUCAAGUGUCUCAUCAUUCAAACAUGACUCAUUAAAAGAAGAUGUAGAAUCAGAAUUGGAUAUAGAAUCUUUGUCGAAUUCCGGAUUCGAAAAUGUUGUGAAAUGUGAAAUAGAAUCCUUGUCUCUAUCAUUAAAAGAAUUCUUCAAUGAUUUGAACCUUUGGUAACAUUGGUUCAAAUGUGGAUUUGAUGAUGGGUCAGAUGAUUCAAAUUCAGCAUGUAUAAGGUUUGACAUGAAUGCAAAUUUUUGUUCUAUUUCUUCUUGUGAAUUUGGAUCACGUAGUAUUCCUUCAGUGAGAAUUGAUUCGAGUUCUUUGAGUUUUGCUUUCAAAACCAAUUCAGACAUUUUUUGAGUGACACAAAAGUUUUUGUUUUUUGAAGUUUCUGUUACUUGUGUGUGUGUGUUUUUUGGAUUUCAAAAGUGGGUGUUGUGUUUGUGAAAACGGUCUAGAAGUUUUCUAUUUAUAAGUGGUAACCGUAGCACUUGCGUGACAUUGACCAACCACAAUAUCACAAGUGGUUUGCUUUUCUCUCUCACAAAUUUUUUUUGUUUGUCUGUACACUUGUGAUAUUGUGGUUGGUCAAUGUCACCCAAGUGCUAUCCGGUAACUGUAAUCUCUGCAUAUAUCUCAACAUGUAUAAAUAUCUCAUCUCUUGAACAGAUAGAAGUGGAGGACGGUUAUCAAAUUUCAAAAUUAAAGUAUAUGUGAGAGGGAGUAGACAUUGAAAAUGUGAAUGUCAUUAAAAUUCUUCAGGGACUAUAUGCACCUUUUUUUGCAAUUAGGGUUAUGCUAACAAGUAUGCAUAGAAGAAUCAUAAUAAGGUUGCAAUAAAAGUAGGGUUGAUAUUAAACACAAUCAUAGAUAAUCGACUAACAUAAGUAAUUUAGUAAUAGUCAGACACAUUUCAAACAAAUUUAUUGUUCCAAUUUUUUUUUUUUUAAUACGUAAUUCUUGUAAAACACUCUUCUUAUAAAAAGGGACAGAGGGAGUAUUUAUUAAAAUGCUUCUAUUCUUCAACAUUUUAAAUUUUUAAUUAUAGUUGCAUCUUGUUGACUUUGCAAUCAAAUCCUUGAAAAUGACCUACAUUUUAAUGAUUAAACUUGAAACGUGAUGGAUAUUAUAUUAUUGACGCAAAUCAUUGGUGAAUAUUAUAAUAUGCACCCAAUUUUUUUAUUCUUCAUGACUUUCAAUUUCAAUCCAUACUUUUACUAUGCACUCUGCUUUUUUAAAUAGAUAAAAUGGCAAACAAACUCGCACACAACUGCAAGGUUUUAAAGUAGAACUCGAAUGAAAGUGUCCAACUUAAGAACAUCGGCAUUUCUAGUUUAGAUAGGUCGUACGAACCAUCAAAAAGAAGAGAAUUGCAAUAAUGUCUGUAAUUAGUAUUUGUCAUCCAUGAGGUGUCAACUCAGUGGUAAUGGUAAGAGUUUGACCUUGUAACCGAUGAAAGAUAUUUGUAAAAUGAUCAUUAAUAUCACUUUAAUAAAUGAUUAUUGAAACAUAUGUCUCCAUCUUUCUCUUGCUUCAAAUUAUCAUGCCUUUGUUUUGUUUUUCAGUUUCAUUUUCGUAAGAUUUCUUGAACUCAAUAUUUCUAUGUUUGUUUGAUUAAGUUCUUAUUUUGUUAUUGAUAUUUGGGUUCUGAAUUAUGAUAAUAUAGUUUUUGACAGAAUGUCAAAAGGCUAAUCUGAAAUUUAGAGAGAAGGAGAAGACAAUUGAAAGAGGAGAGAGAAAGAGAAACUUGAAAGCUGAAAAUGACAAUUGAAACUCUUGUAGAGAAUAGGAAAACAAGGAAGAAGAAGGAAGUGGUUGAUGGAAAUGUACCUUUGUUACCUAAGGCACAAGAAACAAAUGUUGAUUAUCAUGAAUUUAAUAGAGCUUCAUUUUCAGGAGCUGUUUUCAAUUUGUCAACCACAGUCAUUGGUGCCGGAAUCAUGGGCUUGCCUGCUUGUGUCAGAAAGUUGGGGAUGGUACCUGGUCUUCUUGCCAUAAUCCUCACAGCAUUACUAACAGAAAAGUCAAUUGAGUUUGUGAUUAGGUUUUCGAGGGCAGGGAAUCUUUCUUCCUAUGGAAGUCUUAUGGGGGAUGCCUUUGGGAAAUACGGAAAAAUAUCGGUGGAGAUAUGUAUUGUAAUCGGUAACACUGGUAUGCUGAUUGUUUACAUGAUCAUUGUUGGUGAGACCAUAUUCUUAAUUCUAGUGUUUUAAAAUUAUAUAGAUGUAAUCCGAUUUGGUUUUGUGUGAUUCAGUUUCGUUUUGUUCGUAUUUGUAGGCGAUGUCAUUUCAGGAACAACUUCAAGUGGAAUUCACCAUCCUGGUAUACUUGAAGGAUGGUUUGGUGUCCAUUGGUGGACCGGGCGUACAUUUGUUCUUGUUUUUGCAACACUUGCUGUGUUUGCACCUUUGGUCAGCUUUAAGCGGAUUGGUUAGUGAUUUUGCUUUUCUUGUAUUAAUUGGUUGAAAAUCGAAACAUGUAGUUAGGAGUCACUUAUUAAACAAAUUAUUACUGAAACGGCCAUAGAUUUGACGACAAUGUUAGGAAGAUGACUCAAACGAUGGACGGUAAUGGUAUGGAUGAAAGUUUCCAUUUCAUUGUUUGUAUAUUGAACAAAUUGGUCUAUCUAUGAAAAUGUUUUGUUGCUAAGUUGUUUGGUUUGUUACCAAAUGAAAUAGAGUGCUUGCUACUUCACCACUUUUCAUAUUUUUACUUGACGGGGUUAGAUUUUUUUUUUUUUUUUUUUUAUAUUAAUGAAUUGGAUCGAAAUAUGGUUUGCGAUAGAACAUGAUAGCGUAAUUUGAUCCACGUAGCCGACCCCACUCAGUGGGAUAAGGCUUGGUUCUGUUGUUAUUAGUUUUAAGCCGACUGUUUGUGCUUUUGUACUGGUGCUCAACUGUAUCCAUGCAAUGCAACACUUCUAUGACAGAUUUAACUGCAUUCUCUGUGGUUAUUGCAGAUUCAUUGAGAUUCACGUCUGCAUUGUCAGUUGGAUUAGCAGUUGUUUUCCUUAUCAUAGCCGUGGGGAUCUCAACUAUCAAGAUUAUUAGCGGGGGCAUUGAGAUUCCCAGACUCUUCCCGAUCAUUACUGAUGUAGAUUCUGUUUUUGAUCUAUUCACGGUAGCUCCUGUGCUGAUGACUGCAUACAUCUGUCACUUUAAUGGUAAGAAAAUCUUUUUUCCUUAGAACCUGGUUGCGCUGUUUUAAUGUUUUUAUUACUCAUGAUCUAUGAAGCAUUGAGGCAGACACUGGACACGACACUGACACGUCGGUAAUAAUUUUAUCACAUGCAUAUAUCGGACACCGGCAACUCCUUCAAUUAGAAGUGUAGGUGCUACAAAGCUCAUAAUAGACCUGUGUAAUUAUAAGUUGGUUAUGUAUUUGCAUGAAGAAGGUUAAGGUCUUUUGACUACUUAGUCCAUAAGCAUAGUCUCAUUCCAUGUCCAUCUUAUUUGAAAAGAAACCAUAGUCAAUUUUCGAUGAACUAAAAAUUGAAAUCCAGAAUAUUUUGGUUAAUUUUUGGUCAUACACCAUUAGUCAGAAAUGUUAACAACAUGAUGAAUAAUAAUAAUACAUUUUGUAGUUUUUGCUUGGUUGCUUGAUGGGGUUGUAUUUGUGUGCUCUUUAUUUGCAGUUCAUAGCAUAGAUAAUGAACUGGAGGAUUCCUCACGGAUGAGCGGGGUUGUGUGUACUUCCCUUACUCUAUGCUCUUCGGUGUACUUACUGACAAGCUUCUUUGGGUUCCUUCUAUUUGGUGAAGGAGUUCUUGAUGAUGUUCUUGCCAAUUUUGAUACUGAUCUUGGAAUUCCCUUCGGUUCUGCGCUCAAUGAUGCUGUUCGUUUGAGCUAUGCUGCGCAUCUUGUCCUUGUAUUUCCUGUAAUUUUCUAUGCAUUGAGGGUCAACUUAGAUGGUCUAAUAUUUUCCUCAUCAAGAAGACCUUUGGUUGUUGAUAACUUCAGAUUUGCAUCAAUUACUAUUUCCCUUGUUGGCAUUAUCUUCCUCGGAGCAAAUUUCAUACCGAACAUUUGGGUUAUUUUCCAGUUCACUGGAGCAACAGGUGCUGUUUGUGUAGGAUUCGUUUUUCCAG
rnacentral:lncRNA from 1 species